CCACCUUGGGUCAGGCGCGAUCUGCUGAGAUCCCCUGAGGCCUGUCCAGCUGACAGCUGCACGCUUUGCCAGGGGGUUCUCAAAGUGAUCACAGAGCAGGACAUCGGUCAGGUGAAGUGCUCUCAGUCCUGCUGCCUGCUCCUUGUGCUUGCUGCUAGGCUGCAGCCUCGGCCCAGGAACAGGAUGUGAUAUGGACCUGUGCCAUGUCCCAUACACAAGCAUCCUGCAUCUGACUCGAUAGCAGCAGUACCUGCAAAUUGGAGUGUGGUGCUGCCCCAUCCCCCAUGUGUUUUAAAUAAUUGGUGGUUUGGCUACUUGUGUGUUGUAUAAGGCAGACAGACUCGGUUCUGUUCCUUUUCUUUCCCUCUGUGGCCACGUGUCUUCUGCAUUUCAGUCACUGCAGGGAUCUUGCUUCAUCAGUAGGAGAGAGGACUAGUCCCAUCCUGACUACCCUAUGGUCUGGAAAAUGUGGGUGCGGUACUGCCUUUCUGUCACAUGGUGGAAAAAAGCAGAGAAGCUUGUGGUGAGACAAGUUUGAGUGAUCCAGUCCCAGACUUGUUUGUUGCUUUCUGCCUGGGAGAGGUGCUGGGGGUGCUGCAGCCUCACCGAGGGACAGCAGCCAUCUCCUUCAGCGCCUCUGCAUACAGCUUCUUAGAAGCAGCACAAGCUCAUGCCUUCCUCUUAAGAAGGAUGCCUGGUCUGUCAGCUGAAGGCAGAUGCUGAAACUGUGCACACCAGCACAAGUUCCUCGCAUUUCUCUGUGCCCUACCUGAAGCUCUGCCAAGCACAAACCUCAAAGCCGUGUCAGCAGCAUCCCCAGUGGGACCUGGUACAAGAGCAGAUGAGGUGAUUUUUAUCUCCAAGUCGGUUCAGCAUCAGUGCAACACCCUUGUCUUCAGCUCAGGCUUUGAGCUUACGUAGCUGCAUCACUAGAGCAAGCUGAGGUUCAGCUCUCAGCACAUGCUGUGCCUGCACAGGGUCCCCAGAGCGUGCACACCACUUCUCUGCUCUCCCCAGCCCACGCUGUCUCUGCGUUGCCAAAGCUGCUCCUCCUCGCCGGCACUGGGAGCGUGCUCCACAGCUGCUCAGAUACAUCUACGCACACAGCAGCAGGGCAGCCGCUGCGGUACCGUGCACACUGACUCACUGCUUCUCUCUUGCAUCGCUCAAACGCCUCUUGUU